GCUGUCGUGGUCGAGUGGUGAAGGCGAUAGACCAGAAUUUUUUUGGGAUCUUCGCACAGGUUCGAAUCCUGCCGGCAUCG
rnacentral:tRNA from 1 species